AUUGAACGCUGGCGGCAGGCUUAACACAUGCAAGUCGAGCGGGGUGAUGGUGCUUGCACUAUCACUUAGCGGCGGACGGGUGAGUAAUGCUUAGGAAUCUGCCUAUUAGUGGGGGACAACAUCUCGAAGGGGAUGCUAAUACCGCAUACGUCCUACGGGAGGAAGCAGGGGAUCACUUGUGACCUUGCGCUAAUAGAUGAGCCUAAGUCGGAUUAGCUAGUGGGUGGGGUAAAGGCCUACCAAGGCGACGAUCUGUAGCGGGUCUGAGAGGCUGAUCCGCCACACUGGGACUGAGACACGGCCCAGACUCCUACGGGAGGCAGCAGUGGGGAAUAUUGGACAAUGGGUGGAACCCUGAUCCAGCCAUGCCGCGUGUGUGAAGAAGGCCUUAUGGUUGUAAAGCACUUUAAGCGAGGAGGAGGCUCUUUUGGUUAAUACCCAUGAUGAGUGGACGUUACUCGCAGAAUAAGCACCGGCUAACUCUGUGCCAGCAGCCGCAGUAA
rnacentral:rRNA from 1 species